UGGGGAAUAUUGCACAAUGGGCGCAAGCCUGAUGCAGCCAUGCCGCGUGUAUGAAGAAGGCCUUCGGGUUGUAAAGUACUUUCAGUCGGGAGGAAGGUGGUAAGGUUAAUAACCUUAUCAAUUGACGUUACCGACAGAAGAAGCACCGGCUAACACCGUGCCAGCAGCCACGGUAAUACGGAGGGUGCAAGCGUUAAUCGGAAUUACUGGGCGUAAAGCGCACGCAGGCGGUUGAUUGAGUCAGAUGUGAAAUCCCCGGGCUUAACCCGGGAAUUGCAUCUGAUACUGGUCAGCUAGAGUCUUGUAGAGGGGGGUAGAAUUCCAUGUGUAGCGGUGAAAUGCGUAGAGAUGUGGAGGAAUACCGGUGGCGAAGGCGGCCCCCUGGACAAAGACUGACGCUCAGGUGCGAAAGCGUGGGGAGCAAACAGG
rnacentral:rRNA from 1 species